rnacentral:rRNA from 1 species
UACGUAGGGUGCAAGCGUUAAUCGGAAUUACUGGGCGUAAAGCGUGCGCAGGCGGUUAUAUAAGACAGUUGUGAAAUCCCCGGGCUCAACCUGGGAACUGCAUUUGUGACUGUAUAGCUAGAGUACGGUAGAGGGGGAUGGAAUUCCGCGUGUAGCAGUGAAAUGUGUAGAUAUGCGGAGGAACACCGAUGGCGAAGGCAAUCCCCUGGACCUGUACUGACGCUCAUGCACGAAAGCGUGGGGAGCAAACAGG